rnacentral:rRNA from 1 species
GACGAACGCUGGCGGCGUGCCUAAUACAUGCAAGUUGAGCGCUGAAGGUUGGUACUUGUACCAACUGGAUGAGCAGCGAACGGGUGAGUAACGCGUGGGGAAUCUGCCUUUGAGCGGGGGACAACAUUGGGAAACGAAUGCUAAUACCGCAUAAAAACUUUAAACACAAGUUUUAAGAUUGAAAGAUGCAAUUGCAUCACUCAAAGAUGAUCCCGCGUUGUAUUAGCUAGGUGGUGAGGUAAAGGCUCACCAAGGCGAUGAUACAUAGCCGACCUGAGAGGGUGGUCGGCCACCUUGGGACUGAGACCCGGCCCCAACUCCUACGGGAGGCAGCCGUAGGGAAUCUUCGGCAAUGGACGAAAGUCUGACCGAGCAACGCCGCGUGAGUGAAGAAGGUUUUCGGAUCGUAAAACUCUGUUGGUAGAGAAGAACGUUGGUGAGAGUGGAAAGCUCAUCAAGUGACGGUAACUACCCAGAAAGGGACGGCUAACUACGUG